rnacentral:rRNA from 1 species
UACGUAGGGUGCAAGCGUUAUCCGGAAUUAUUGGGCGUAAAGAGCUCGUAGGCGGUUUGUCGCGUCUGCUGUGAAAACUCGAGGCUCAACCUCGAGAUGUCGGCGGAAACCAUUUGGCUAGAGUCCGGAAGAGGAAAGUGGAAUUCCUGGUGUAGCGGUGAAAUGCGCAGAUAUCAGGAAGAACACCCGUGGCGAAGGCGGCUUUCUGACGGUACUGACGCUGAGACGCGAAAGCGUGGGGAGCGAACAGG